rnacentral:rRNA from 1 species
UGCAGUCGAACGGACCUUGUGCGUAGCACAAGGAAAUUCGAAGUACAAAGUAUUAAAUCCGAAACAAAAUUAAUUGAUGGUGCUUGAAAUAAAAGAUUAAGAUUAAGUAUUUACGUAUAGAUAUUCGGAUUUAGGAUCUCGGAUUUUCUCGUGCUACGCACGAGGUUAGUGGCGGACGGGUGAGUAACACGUAGGUAACCUACCCUCAAGAGGGGGACAACCCCGAGAAAUCGUGGCUAAUACCGCAUAAGACCACGGGUUGAGAUAUCUGUGGUAAAAGGAGAAAUCCGCUUGAGGAUGGGCCUGCGGCCUAUCAGGUAGUUGGUAGGGUAAUAGCCUACCAAGCCUAAGACGGGUAGCCGGACUGAGAGGUCGGACGGCCACACUGGGACUGAGACACGGCCCAGACUCCUACGGGAGGCAGCAGUGGGGAAUAUUGCGCAAUGGGGGAAACCCUGACGCAGCGACGCCGCGUGGAGGAUGAAGGCCUUCGGGUUGUAAACUCCUUUUCUUGGGGAAAAUGAUGAUGGUACCCAAGGAAUAAGCCACGGCUAACUCUGUGCCAGCAGCCGCGGUAAGACAGAGGUGGCAAGCGUUGUUCGGAAUUACUGGGCUUAAAGGGCGCGUAGGCGGUGAUACAAGUCUAA